rnacentral:rRNA from 1 species
AUGAAUAAUAUGCUUUUGGCCAAGUAUACCAGGGAGGAGGUUCGCAAGGCUUUGUUCCAAAUAGGUGAUCUGAAGGCCCCGGGCCCAGAUGGACUUCAAGCUAUUUUCUUUAAAAGAUUCUGGCACAUUGUGGGAGAGGAGCUGACAUAUGAGGUGCUGAAUGCUAUACGUCAUAGAAAGAUCCCUACAGGUUGGAACUCAACGAACGUGACUCUCAUACCUAAGGUAAAUUCCCCUGAGGUGAUAACAUAGUACAGACCAAUAAGCUUGUGUAACGUGGUCUAUAAAAUCAUUUCGAAAAUGAUUGCAAAUAGACUUAAGAGGAUUCUCCCUGACAUUAUUUCUCCAACACAAAGUGCCUUCGUACCGGGAAGACUAAUCAUUGAUAACGUGUUGGUAGCUUAUGAAUGUUUUCAUGCAAUCAAGAAAAAAACUCAUGGAUCAAAUGGGCUCUGUGCGGUAAAGUUGGAUUUGAAUAAAGCUUAUGACCGUGUUGAAUGGGGCUUUUUGGAGAAGAUAAUGCUGCGGAUGGGGUUUCAUGCACAAUGGGUGGAGCUCAUCAUGGAGUGUGUGUCCUCAAUAAGCUAGAGAGUCAGAUUUAACAACACCGAAACUAAUGAGUUUUCUCCUACAAGAGGCUUGAGGCAGGGUGACCCUAUAUCACCUUAUUUAUUUUUAUUGUGUUCUGAAGGUCUCUCAAGUCUGCUUGCUCAUGAACAGGAAAUGGGUGAAUUAGAUGGUGUGCGAGUGUGCGGGAAUGCCCCCUCAAUUUCGCAUCUGUUAUUUGCAAACGAUGCUCUGAUUCUUAUGAAGGCGGAUACCCAUAAUGCGGAUACUUUAAAAGGAGUUUUGGAGACCUAUUGCUCUAGUUCAGGGCAGCUGAUCAGUAAUGCAAAGUCAAGCAUAUAUUUCAGUCCGAAUACAAAUGUCCAAACCAGGGAAAAUAUUUGCAGAGAAUUGAAAAUUGUGACAAAAGCUUUAUCUGAUACGUAUUUGGGCCUACCGACUAUGGUAGGGGUGGACAGAAGCGACUGUUUUCAACACUUGAUUGAUAGAGUUUGUCAGAGGCUGAAGGGGUGGAAAGAGAAAACACUCUCGAUGCAAGGUAAAGAGAUAUUGGUAAAAUCAGUUGCCCAAGCGAUUCCUUCCUAUGCAAUGUCAGUUUUCAAACUUCCAAAAGGAAUCUGCAAAUCUAUUACUGAUGAAAUAGCUGGCUUUUGGUGGGGAGAUGAUGAAGAGAAGAAGAAAAUGCAUUGGUUUGCCUGGUAG